GCUAUGUCGGGCAGAAUGUUGGGCAGAAUCGGGUGCAAAUCGGGAAGGGUCAAACACCUGCAGAGAGAGAACCAGGGCCAGGACAGGAAAAAAAUGGUGUCUCCUUCUGCCCCUGUCUGAUGCUCUCCAUACUUCAGAAAAUGAAAAAUGUGGAUCUCAAGUCCUGAAAACGUAUCUGGAGGCCAUAGUUAAUUUUACAGAUUCUAGGACAUCUACUCAAAGGAGAUGAGCUGCCACUCUGAAGAUGAUGUUUUACACUCACCUGAUCUCCCCAGA